rnacentral:rRNA from 1 species
AUUGAACGCUGGCGGCAGGCCUAACACAUGCAAGUCGAGCGAGCGGCGGACGGGUGAGUAAUGUAUGGGGACUGCCUGAUAGAGGGGGAUAACUACUGGAAACGGUGGCUAAUACCGCAUACUAUCGGAUAACCCAUAUGGGAUUAGCUAGUAGGUGGGGUAAAGGCUCACCUAGGCGACGAUCUCUAGCUGGUCUGAGAGGAUGAUCCGCCACCCUGGGACUUAGACACGGCCCAGACUCCGACGGAGCCAGCAGUGGGGAAUAUUGCACAAUGUGCGCAAGCCUGAUGCAGCCAUGCCGCGUGUAUGAAGAGGGCCGUAGGGUUGUAAAGGACUUUCAGCGGUGAUGCGUUACCCGCAGAAGAAGCACCGGCUAACUCCGUGCCAGCCGCCGCGGUAAUUC